CAUCAUCUCAACACUUUUAACACCAUCUUUCUCAAUCUUCUUAUAUUUUUACUCUCUGCAGUUCUAUGGGUAAGCAAGUGGUUCAUCCUUCGUUAUCUUUCUGCUCCCAAUAAACAACCAUCCAAUUCCAUGGCUUCCAUCUGUGUUGUUGUGACUAUUAUUCUCAAGUUUGUUUGAUAUCCUGUUACUAUACUUCUGUAAGUUUCACUCUUUCAUUUCUGAUAAUUCUUUUUCGGUUAGCUUCUUCACUCUGUCUGCUUUUUAUUUGUUUACUACUUUCUUGAUAAUUCUUCAUCCUUAGAUUCUACAUUGUUCCUGCUUCUUAAUUAUUCACUACUUGUAUUCAUUUGUGCUCCUCUUACUUUGUUCUGCAAAUUUUGUUGUUUUGUGCCAUGGAAAAUGUAGUUGUAAAUAUAUGAUAAAGAAAAUGUUAUUAAAGAUGUUUGAAGUAGUAAUAAAGUUAACUAAUAUCUAUAGUUUAGUGUCUUAGAGGAUGAUCUAAAUUCGAGUUUGGUUGUAGAGCCUGUUUGGAUUGACUUUUCAUUUCUGACUUAUAAGCAAAAGUCAUAAGUUAGAAGUACUAACUUGUGGCUUAUUUUUAGCAUUUUAUCUUAAAAGUUAGUACUUGUGGCAUAUUUUUAGCAUUUUAGCUUAAAACUAAGUGCUUAUUAAACACUUUUUUGACUUAUUCACACACUCCAAAAGUGCUUAAAGGCUAUUUUAGCUUUAAAACACUUAAAAUAAGCUAAUCCAAUUGCGUUAUUAAGUUUGGUAAGUGUUUAAAUAGUUCCCUUGCUGUUUAUUUUGACUAAUGAUUCUGGAUCCAAUUGAUGUGGAGAAGUUGUUCAAGCUUUAGUACAAUAGUCCUGAAGUUCUUGAAACAAAGUCGACCUUGACCUGCUAUUUUUUCCCUUUUGUACCGUCUUGAUGACUGAUGCUUUAACAAGGUAUGUGACACUCUUUUAUUACUACACUCUACAUUCACUACUUAAAACACUUCUCCCAUUUCAAUAUAGAAUCUCUACAGAUAUUUUGUGCACACAAUUGCAGCUGUAAUUAAGAACGACAUGCCAACCACCAACAAAGUAAUCGACUGCAUUACUAUAUUACCUUUUACCGAUAUGUGCUUCUGUGAACAUUUGUAAAUGAUGUAUAAAUAGUGCAAUCACGAAUCUUAUGUACAAACAAUAUGUGUAUGUAUAAAUUAGCCAUCUUUAGCUA